AGCAGCAUGGCUCAGUGGAAAGAGCACUGCUGUGGGAGUCAGAGGUCAUGGGUUCAAGUCCCAGUUCAGCCA
rnacentral:tRNA from 1 species